GGAGAAUCGCUUGAACCCGGGAGGCGGAGGUUGCAGUGAGCCAAGAUGGCGCCAUUGCACUCCAGCCUGGGCAACGAGUGAAACUUCAUCUCAAAAAAAAAAAAAAUCAUGUAUAAUCAGAAUUAUCCUUGGAAACCCCUUUUAUCACUCCUAAAGUACAGAACCAUCUCCCAAUAGCAUAGCCAAGUUUUCCUCUAGCAAUGGAACAGAUUGCUGUUUCUUCGGUGGAUAACUGAUAAAGGGAUUGGCUUGCUUGGGGACUUACACACUAGACCCAUACUUAGUAUGGCGACAUGCACACACACUGAAGAUUUUAUGAGGCACCUGGGAACUGAGACCAAUGAGGGGAACAGCAGAUUUACCUCUUUCACGACACACUUGGGGCCUAUGGUAUAUGAGUAAAAUAAUAUUUAAUAUAGUAUUACUCUUUCUCUUUCCAUCUCUAGUUUCUCCACAGCAAGUAUAAUUGAGUUUUUGUAAACUAAAGAGAAAUAGUACCUAUUUCAUAGGGUUGUGACAAUUAAAAGACCUACGUUUUUGUGUUUUGUUUUGUUUUGUUUUUGAGACGGAGUUGUGCUCUGUCACCCAGGCUAGAGUGCAGUGGUGCGAUCUUGGCUCACUGCAACCUCUGCCUCCUGGGUUCAAAUGAUUCUCCUGCCUCAGCCUCUCGAAUAGCUGGGAUCACAGGCUCCCGCCACCACGCCCGGCUAAUUUUUGUAUUUUCGUAGAGACAGGGUUUCACAAUGUUGGCCAGGCUGGUCUCGAACUCCUGAUCUCAGGUGGUCCGCCUGCCUCAGCCUCCCAAAGUGCUGAGAUUACAGGCAUGAGCCACCAUGCCCGGCCAAAAGAGUUAAUAUUUAUAAAGCACUCAAAACAGUUCCUGAUCCAGGGUAAGCUCUCUAUAAGUGUUUGCUCUUACUGUAUUUAAGGUAGAUAUAGUGGCACUCCACUGUAUUUUCUACAAAAUCCUGCAUAUAAUCCUUCAUGGCAAUUUGGGAAAAAUGCAUUCUGUGGCAGGGAUGAGGUUUAGCACACUAGCCCUUUGUAGUUGCAGAUGCAUGCAGGAGAUAUAUAUUAUAUAUUAUAUAUAUAUUUAUAUAUAUAUAUAUACACACACACAUAUAUUAUAUAUGUAUAUAUUUGAGAUGGGGUCUUACUCUGUCCUUGCUCAGACUGGAGUGCAGAUGGCUCACUGCAGCCUCGACCUCCUGGGCUCAGGUGAUCCUCUCACAUCAGCCUUCCAAGUAGCUGGGACUACAGGCAUGCACCACCACACCCAGCUAAUUUUUGUAUUUUUUGUAGAGACAGGGGUUUUACUAUGUUGCCCAGGGUGGUCUCGAACUCCUGGCACACUGCAACCUCCGCCUGCCAGGUUCAAGUGAUUCUCCUGCCUCAGCCUCCUGAGUAGCCGGGAUUACAGGCAUCCAC
rnacentral:lncRNA from 1 species